rnacentral:rRNA from 1 species
GAUCAUGGCUCAGGACGAACGCUGGCGGCGUGCCUAAUACAUGCAAGUCGAGCGAAGUUUUUUGGUGCUUGCACUAGAAAACUUAGCGGCGAACGGGUGAGUAACACGUAAAGAACCUGCCUCAUAGACUGGGACAACUAUUGGAAACGAUAGCUAAUACCGGAUAACAGCAUUAACUGCAUGGUUGAUGUUUAAAAGUUGGUUAUGCUAACACUAUGAGAUGGCUUUGCGGUGCAUUAG